UUCAUAGGAUUGUUGUGAAAUUUAGGUGA
rnacentral:piRNA from 1 species